rnacentral:rRNA from 1 species
AUUGAACGCUGGCGGCAGGCCUAACACAUGCAAGUCGAGAGAGCGGCGGACGGGUGAGUAAUACAUGGGGACUGCCCGAUAGAGGGGGAUAACUAGUGGAAAAGGUGGCUAAUACCGCAUACUAUUGGAUAACCUCUAUGGGAUGAGCUAGUAGGUGGGGUAAAGGCUCACCUAGGCGACGAUCUCUAGCUGGUCUGAGAGGAUGAUCAGCCACACUGCGACUUAGACACGGCCCAGACGCCUACGGAGGCAGCAGUGGGGAAUAUUGUACAAUGGGGGCGAGCCUGAUGCAGCCAUGCCGCGUGUAUGAUGAAGGCCUUAGGGUUGUAAAGUACUUUCAGCGGGGAGGCGUUACCCGCAGAAGAAGCACCGGCUAACUCCGUGCCAGCAGCCGCGGUAAUAC